rnacentral:rRNA from 1 species
AACGUAGGAGGCAAGCGUUAUCCGGAUUUACUGGGCGUAAAGGGCGUGCAGGUGGUGGGAUAAGUCGUGCGUGAAAGCCUCCGGCUCAACCGGGGGAGGCCGGGCGAGACUGUCCGACUAGAAACAGGCAGAGGGAAGUGGAAUUCCGGGUGUAGUGGUGAAAUGCGUAGAGAUCCGGAGGAACUCCUGUGGCGAAGGCGACUUCCUGGGCCUGCUUUGACACUCAGACGCGAAAGCAUGGGGAGCGAACGGG